rnacentral:rRNA from 1 species
GUUCGUAAUUUGCAGCCGUUAUCGUGCUAGUCGACGGCAGCACGGGUGCUUGCACCUGGUGGCGAGUGGCGAACGGGUGAGUAAUACAUCGGAACAUGUCCUGUAGUGGGGGAUAGCCCGGCGAAAGCCGGAUUAAUACCGCAUACGAUCUAUGGAUGAAAGCGGGGGACCUUCGGGCCUCGCGCUAUAGGGUUGGCCGAUGGCUGAUUAGCUAGUUGGUGGGGUAAAGGCCUACCAAGGCGACGAUCAGUAGCUGGUCUGAGAGGACGACCAGCCACACUGGGACUGAGACACGGCCCAGACUCCUACGGGAGGCAGCAGUGGGGAAUUUUGGACAAUGGGCGAAAGCCUGAUCCAGCAAUGCCGCGUGUGUGAAGAAGGCCUUCGGGUUGUAAAGCACUUUUGUCCGGAAAGAAAUCCUUGGCUCUAAUACAGUCGGGGGAUGACGGUACCGGAAGAAUAAGCACCGGCUAACUACGUGCCAGCAGCCGCGGUAAUACGUAGGGUGCAAGCGUUAAUCGGAAUUACUGGGCGUAAAGCGUGCGCAGGCGGUUUGCUAAGACCGAUGUGAAAUCCCCGGGCUCAACCUGGGAACUGCAUUGGUGACUGGCAGGCUAGAGUAUGGCAGAGGGGGGUAGAAUUCCACGUGUAGCAGUGAAAUGCGUAGAGAUGUGGAGGAAUACCGAUGGCGAAGGCAGCCCCCUGGGCCAAUACUGACGCUCAUGCACGAAAGCGUGGGGAGCAAACAGGAUUAGAUACCCUGGUAGUCCACGCCCUAAACGAUGUCAACUAGUUGUUGGGGAUUCAUUUCCUUAGUAACGUAGCUACGCGUGAAGUUGACCGCCUGGGGAGUACGGUCGCAAGAUUAAAACUCAAAGGAAUUGACGGGACCCGCACAAGCGGUGGAUGAUGUGGAUUAAUUCGAUGCAACGCGAAAACCUUACCUACCCUUGACAUGGUCGGAUCCUGAGAGAUUCGGAGUGCUCGAAAGAGACCGGCGCACAGUGCUGCAUGGCUGUCGUCAGCUCGUGUCGUGAGAUGUUGGGUAGUCCCGCAUCGAGCGCAACCCUGUCCUAGUGCUACGCAGAGCACUCUAGAGACUGCCGUGACAACCGAGAAAGGUGGGGGAUGACGUCAGUCCUUCAUGGCCUUAUGGUUAGGCCUCCCACACGCCUUACAAUGGUCGGAACAAGGUGUCCUACCGCGAAGGGGGAGCCUAUAUCUCGCACAAACCCGAUCGC